UAAUUUUAGAGUUUGAUCCUAGCUCAGGAUGAACGCUGGCGGCGUGGAUAAGGCAUGCAAGUCGAAUGGGUUUAGACCCAUGGCGAACGAGGUAGUAACACGUAGGUACGUACCCUUUAGUUGGGCAUAACUAGCCGAAAGGUUAGAUAAUUCCCAAUGGUCCCUGAGACUUCGGUCGAAGGGUAAAGAUUUAUCGCUAAAGGAACGGCCUGCGACCUAUCAGCUAGUUGGUGAGGUAAUAGCUCACCAAGGCUAUGACGGGUAGGGGAGCUGAGAGGCUGACCCCCACCGAUGGAACUGAGAAACGGUCCAUACACCUACGGGUGGCCGCAGUCGAGAA
rnacentral:ncRNA from 1 species